GCGGAGUGCUGUGCGGACGGUUAGAAUGCCGGCCGGACACGCCGGGAGUCGCGGGUUUUGAUUUCCGCACACUCCGCA
rnacentral:tRNA from 1 species